GGCUCAGGAUGAACGCUGGCGGCGUGCAUAACACAUUCAAGUCGAACGGUGAUUUCCUUCGGGAAUGAUCAGUGGCGGACGGGUGAGUAACGCGUGAGCAACCUGCCCUUGUGUGGGGGAUAACAUCUGGAAACGGAUGAUAAUACCGCAUAACGCAACGGAAUCGCAUGUUUCCGUUGCCAAAGAUUUAUUGCGCAAGGAUGGGCUCGCGUUGGAUUAGAUAGUUGGUGAGGUAACGGCUCACCAAGGCGACGAUCAGUAGCCGACCUGAGAGGGUGAUCGGCCACAUUGGGACUGAGACACGGUCCAGACUCCUACGGGAGGCAGCAGUGAGGAAUAUUGGUCAAUGGUCGGAAGACUGAACCAGCCAAGUAGCGUGAAGGAUGAAGGUUCUAUGGAUUGUAAACUUCUUUUAUACGGGAAUAAAGCCCACUACGUGUAGUGGUUUGUAUGUACCGUAUGAAUAAGCAUCGGCUAACUCCGUG
rnacentral:rRNA from 1 species